rnacentral:rRNA from 1 species
CCUACGGGAGGCAGCAGUGGGGAAUAUUGGGCAAUGGGCGCAAGCCUGACCCAGCAACGCCGCGUGAAGGAAGAAGGCUUUCGGGUUGUAAACUUCUUUUAUCAGGGACGAAGCAAGUGACGGUACCUGAUGAAUAAGCCACGGCUAACUACGUGCCAGCAGCCGCGGUAAUACGUAGGUGGCAAGCGUUAUCCGGAUUUACUGGGUGUAAAGGGCGUGUAGGCGGGAGUGCAAGGCAGAUGUGAAAACUAUGGGCUCAACCCAUAGACUGCGGCUGAAACUACAGAUCUUGAGAGUGGGAGAGG